GGGGGGCGUGCACUGAGUCAGUGGCCGAGUUGGCAGACGCCGCCCUGCCUCCGCGGUCCCCGGUGGGAAGUUCAGGCCGGGAGGCGCACACAUGGGCUACUUUUUAUCGUGGAUGAUGUUACUAUGGUCAUCAGCAGUCCUGUUACUAGAAGCUCCUACACGGCCAGUGUCCGCUGUGUGCCUAGCACCGUGCCUCCGGCUGGAAUGAGGUGGUUCCUUGCCUUAAGUCUGCGCAGAGCUCAAGUCUGGCUCCCUGGAAGCAGCGGGUCCCUCUGUGCCCACCUGCCCCCCAGUACCCCAAGCUCCAGUGCUGCAGGGCCAGCCUUCUUUCCAGGAAAGCUGCCCAGGCCUCCCGCUGCCUUUGCCCAAUGCUUCUAUGUGUCUGCGUUUCCUGCUUCACCCCAGACUUCGGGAUAAGGAGCCUGAGGCUAAGAAUGGAUAAACAACCCGCCCAGGGGCCGGGGUCCUGCAGCAGGGAAGCUCGGGUGGCAGCCUCAUGUGUAGUGGAAGCCCAGGACUUGAGAGCCGCAGGGGACCUGGGAGAGCAGAGCAUCCCUCAGUCGUUCAGGAAAUGAGCACGGGCUCUAGGCGCACGGGCUCCGUAGUUGUGGCGCACGGGCUUAGUUGCUCCGCGGCAUGUGGGAUCUUCCCGGACCAGGGCUCGAACCCGUGUCCCCUGCAUUGGCAGCCGGAUACUUGACCACUGCGCCACCAAGGAAGUCCCUUUCCACAGUUUUUAAACAGUGCUGUGAUGAACAUCUUUGCUGAUGUGUCCUUGGAAGCCGGCUGAGUUUUCCUCAGGGUGACCUCGCCUGGGCUGAGGACUGGGAUGCCUUUUGGCCAAAAUGCCCUCCAGGAACACCCAGCUGACAUACCGUCCACCCACGGAGUGGGGAGCAGGGCUGGACUGUGUCCUUGCGUUCGCGUCUGGCAAUCUCACAGAAAGAAGAGGAAUCUACUGCACGUUCUCUGAGUUUUGGAAAGGCAACAUGGAAAAUUCAACCUUUUUUGAAUACAAAGCUCCUUCUAUCCUGAAUCAUGUAUUCCCUUCCUAGGACGUGGGCAGGGGAAGGGUCGCCUCGGAUUGAUAAAGGGUCCUGGUUUCUCCGUGUACCAGUUAGUUUGGUGCCAUUAGAGGAAAGUCGGGCUGCGUGGAGAGCUGGGCCUUCCCCUGUGUCCCCAUCCCCUCUCUCCAUUCCAGAAGGCACUGUCUACUUUCACACUA